GACAGAGGCCUCAAGCGUUAGGCGGAAUCACUGGGCUUAAAGCGUGUGUAGGCGGAUCGUUAAGUGUCUUGUGAAAUCCCACGGCUCACCCGUGGAACUGCUGGGCAUACUGGCGAUCUUGGGCCAACUAGGGGCAACUGGAACAAGCGGUGGAGCGGUGAAAUGCGUAGAUAUCGCUUGGGACGCCAACGGUGAAAACAGGUUGCUGGGGUUGUGCCGACGCUGAGACACGAAAGCCAGGGGAGCAAACGGG
rnacentral:rRNA from 1 species